CCACAAGCGGAGCAGAGGAACCAAAGUUCGACGGUUUGUUCAGGCGGGCACGGCGCCAUGUCCCCGAAAUCAAAUCCGGCCUCCUGCAUGGCCACGAACCGCC
rnacentral:sRNA from 1 species